ensembl:lncRNA
GGGUUCCUGCCAAGUCAGAGCAGGAAAGGUGCUGCAAAUAGCGCAGCACUGUGCCUCCCAGCGAGCAGCGUCCCGGUGCGGAGGCAUUUCUGUUUAUGUAACCUGAAGCAGGCUCUGCUGCUCGGGCUGCGUUUCCAGACUGUUGCUGGGAGCCAGCAAACCAUGCCUCAGGCUGACAACCUUGUUUUCCAAGUAACUUCUGAACUUGUCAUCCGUGGAAUCCGUGGAGGGAGGUCUGCUGCCCCUGCUUGGAUUCUGCCGGAUGACAUAAGAGAGCCACAGCGACCGUAGAGCAGAUGUCUGCAGAGGACACGCCAGGCUGGAGAUGUUGCUUCUACAGUGCAUCACCGCAAUGAAACACCAUGAGCUGAUGUCCACCCGUGCCAAGGGGAGAUUACAAGGGCAUAUCGGGCUACGAACAAACACAGUUUUGGACACAGUGUAAGGAUAUGAAAACAAUGGCAUACAAUUUAUUUACAGAGCUUUCUUACAACUGCACUACUAAGACAUUUUAGAGCUAACUGGGUCCCUAUGCUCCCUAUCUACUCUAUCUCUUGCUGGACGAGUCUCUCUCUGGGCACAUCACACCAGACGGGCGCUGUCAGCUGGCGCUCUCCUCUUCAGUCCAGUUCUUCCUCGGCUGUUUUGGACAUCAACUCUGUCAAAGCUCGGCUUACAGGAGAAGAGUAACUGAAAUGCAAAGGAGAAAAGGCAGUCGCCCUCGUGUCAAAACAAAAAAUCAGAAGGAUAAGAGAAGAAAGACUUUGAAUUGCAAAAACAAAGAAACCUGUAUAGAAAAACAUCUGUGAUUUGGUUUCAACCUCCAAUUCAGGGCAAAGCAUUCAGAGACUGUCAGAGCCCCGCCGGUGUUUCCACCCGAGAUGUGCCCUCAGUGAUGAAGAUGCAGAACGUCUCUGGCCAUCCUCACCUCCUCCGCUGCCCCAGGCUCACCUCAUGGGAACGCCCCUCCCAGCCAGGAGGAGGUGCUGGGAGCUGGGCCAUGCGCACACACACAGCCAUACCUAGCUCUGAGCAGAAGGUGCGUCCUCUUCCCUGUGAUGCUCUGCUGGCAGGACGGGUGUUCCCAGAGCUGCUGUUCUUCUGCCGGCGCUGAAGCAGCAUCAGGCGUUGGUCCUCAUCACAUGCUGGAGGGGAGAGUGGUGUCCCAGGUCUCCGUGGCUCAUCUGCAGCAGAGACCAAAGAAAUUCCUGUUAUCAACUUUCAGUAUCGCUAUCAACUCUGUCUAUCAGCUAUCUCACAAUGUCUCUGUCCCCUAUUUCCCAAUCAAAUAUCCCAGUAUGAUAUAACUAUCUAUCUCACUAGCAACUCUUUUGCUUUCCACUAAGUAUCUUCGAUCUACACACCAUCUAUCAAUUACCUGUCUUGCUAUGCACUGUCUUUCCACUAUCUCACUACCAACUAUUUUUCUUGCUAUCAACUGUCUUGCUAUACACUAGGUUUCUUACUAUCCACCAACUCUCUCCCUGUCAAUUCUUUUGCUGUCCACUAUCAACCCAAGAACUGUCUCACUAUCCAACGCUUUCAGCCCCCCACAGCCCCAGGGCUGCCCUCCCCCUGCCCCUCGCACAGCCCGCACUGGGCUGCCAGCCCAUCACCUGCAGCUGCCCUGGUGGGGCCGCAGCUGCAAGCGGGGCAGUGCGGGGCUGCUGGGGCU